UCAUGAAAGCCGUUUGUACCCGAAGUCACCGUGCUAACUCGCAAGAGAGGCAGGUGCCGAAGGUAUGGAUGGUGAUUGGGAUG
rnacentral:rRNA from 1 species